CGCGAGCAUCUACAACAGUCAAGUUAUGAAGGGCUUACGGUGGAUGCCUUGGCGCCAGGAGCCGAUGAAGGACGUGUCAGGCUGCGAAAAGCUUCGGGGAGCUGCCGAGAGAGCUUUGAUCCGGAGAUGUCCGAAUGGGGAAACCCGGCCGGGGUCAUGCCCGGUCACCCGUCGCUGAACACAUAGGCGAUGAGGAGGGAACCGUCCGAAGUGAAACAUCUCAGUAGGGCGAGGAAGAGAAAGCAACCGCGACUCCCCUAGUAGCGGCGAGCGAACGGGGAACAGCCUAAACCGGUGCGGUGGAAAGCCCGACGGCGUUGCCGUGCCGGUGUCGUGGGACCCACAAGGAUCCUCGUCGGAAGAUCCAAGGAGUGACAAAACCGACAUCUAGACGAAGGCCAUGGAAAGGGCCGCCACAGAAGGUAACAGCCCUGUAGUCGAAAGGUGAUCGGUCUCCUCGUGGGGAUCCCGAGUAGCACGGGACCCCUGAAAUCCCGUGUGAAUCUGGGGGGCCCACCCCCUAAGGCUAAGCACUCCCUGGCGACCGAUAGUGAACCAGUACCGUGAGGGAAAGGUGAAAAGCACCCCGGGAGGGGAGUGAAAUAGCACCUGAAACCGUGAGCCUACAAGCAGUCGGAGCUCGUUCCUGGGUAACCAGGGGCGGGUGACGGCGUGCCUUUUGA
rnacentral:rRNA from 1 species